GACGAACGCUGGCGGCGUGCUUAACACAUGCAAGUCGAACGGAAAGGCCCUGCUUUUGUGGGGUGCUCGAGUGGCGAACGGGUGAGUAACACGUGAGUAACCUGCCCUUGACUGUGGGAUACCUUCAGGAAACUGGGGCUAAUACCGGACAGGAGCACCUGCUGCAUGGUGGGGUUGGUAAGUUUCGGCGGUUGGGGAUGGCAUCGCGGCUUAUCAGCUUGUUGGUGGGGUAGGGGCUUACCAAGGCUUUGACGGGUAGCCGGCCUGAGAGGGUGACAGGCCACAUUGGGACUGAGAUACGGCCCAUACUCCUACGGGAGGCAGCAGUGAGAAAUUGUGCACAAUGGGCGGAAGUCGUAUGCAGCAACGCCGCGUGCGGGAUGACGGCCUUCGGGUUGUAAACCGCUUUCGCCUGUGACGAAGCGUGAGUGACGGUAAUGGGUAAAGAAGCACCGGCUAACUACGUG
rnacentral:rRNA from 1 species